rnacentral:lncRNA from 1 species
AGGGCGCAGCUUUAUACGACCGCAGAGGUUGAACCCUGAACGGUUGGGGCAAGUAUGGACACAACAUUCAAGCUGGAUUCAGCUCUUAAUUUGAAUUGUGAUUAAAUAGUUGACACAGCAUAGGUUUCCGACACAGAAUGAAUGUGGUCUAAUGAACUUAAAAUAUUUUGUUUGCCUUUGAGCAAUUCACUAUGCUGUUGAAUAUUAAUCCUCUCAAAAAAAUGUUUGAAGAAAUUUUCUUUUUAUUUAUGAAAUCUAAAAUGAGAAAAAUUUAACCCCCCCCUUUUUUUCUCACAUCCCCCUUUCCCUUUUUACAAAACUGAUCUCAAUUCAAAUUUCUAAUGGAGUUUGAAACAAUAACUACUCAUUUAAAUACAUCAUAAAAUAUUAAAAUGUAACAAAAGGUGCUCAUUAUCACUAAAUGGUAAAGAUUGUUUUAAUUUAUCAAUUGGUAGUAAAAGUGAAUAUACAUUGUUUAUUGUAUAAAACAAUGAUUUAGGUUGAUUCAACUACUAUUCUGGACAAAGAAAGAUAUCUCCAAUCAAUUGAAAAUUUCUUGCUUUUCCACAAUAUUGUGCAAUUAGAUAUUUCUUGCUAUUGCGCAAUACUGUGCAAUUGAAAAUAUUUGCUAUUGCACAAUAUUGUGCAAUUGAAAAUUUCUUGCUAUUACACAAUAAUGUGCAAUUGAAGAUUUCUUGCUUUUGCUGAAUACUGUGCAAUUGAAAAUUUCUUGCUAUUGCACAAUACUUAAUAUAAUAAUUUUGGAUCCUGUUUUGAACGAACUUGAAAACUGGGCCCAUAAUAAAAAAUCUAAGUACAUGUUUAGAUUCAGCAUAUCAAAAAAGCCCAAGAAUUCAAUUUUUGUUAAAAUCAAACUUAGUUUAAUUUUGGACCCUUUGGACUUUAAUGUAGACCAAUUUGAAAACUGGACUAAAAAUUAAAGAAACUACAUACACAGUAAGAUUUGGCAUAUCAAAGAACCCCAAUUAUUCAAUUUUUGAUGAAAUCAAACAAAGUUUAAUUUUGGACCCUGAUUUGGACCAACUUGAAAACUUUGCCAAUAAUAAACCAGAUGCUCCGCAGGGCGUAAUUUAUACGACCGCAGAGGUUGAACCCUGAACGGUUGGGGCAAGUAUGGACACAACAUUCAAGCUGGAUUCAGCUCUAAAUUUGGAUUGUGAUUAAAUAGUUGACACAGCAUACGUUUCUGACACAGAAUGAAUGUGUUCUAAUGAACUUAAAAUUUUUGUUUUCUCUUAGAGCAAUUCACUAUGCUGUUGAAUAUUAAUCCUCUCAAAAAAAUGUUUGAAGAAAUUUUCUUUUUUAUUUAUGAAAUUUCAAAUGAGAAAAAUUGAACCCAAUUUUUUUUAAUCACAUCCCCCUUUCCCUUAUUCCAAAACUAAUCUCAAUUAAAAUUUCUAAUGGAGUUUGCAACAAUAACUACUCAUUUAAAUACAUCAUAAAAUAUUAAGAUGUAAAAAAACUGCUUGUUAUCACUGAAUGGUAAAGAUUAUUUUAAUUUAUCAGUUGGUAGUAAAAAGUGAAUAUACAUUGUAUAUUGUAUAUAACAAAGAUUUAAGUUGAUUCUGGACAAAGAAAGAUAACUCCAAUUAAAAAAAAAUCUUGCUAUUGCACAAUAUUUUGCAAUUAGAUAUUUCUUGCUUACUAUUCUGGACAAAGAAAGAUAACUCUAAUUAAAAAAAAAAUUUGCUAUUUCACAAUAUUGUGCAAUUAGAUAUUUCUUGCCAUUGCGCAAUACUGUGCAAUUGAAAAGACUUGCUAUUGCACAAUACCGGUACUUAAUAUAAUAAUUUUAGAUCCUGAUUUGGACCAACUUGAAAACUGGGCCCAUAAUAAAAAAUUUAAGUACAUUUUUGGAUUCAGCAUAUCAAAGAACCCCAAGAUUUCAAUUUUUGUUAAAAUCAGACUAAGUUUAAUUUUGGACCCUUUGGACUUUAGUGUAGACCAAUUUGAAAACAGGACCAAAAAUGAAGAAUCUACAUACACAGUUAGAUUUGGUAUAUCAAAGAACCCCAUUUAUUCAAUUUUUGAUGAAAUCAAACAAAGUUUAAUUUUGGACCCCGAUUUGGACCAACUUGAAAACUGGGCCAAUAAUCAAGAAUCUAAGUACAUUUUUAGAUUCAGCAUAUCAAAGAACCUAACUGAUUCAUUUUUUGUCAAAAUCAAACUAAGUUUAAUUUUGGACCCUUUGGACCUUAAUGUAGACCAAUUUGAAAACGGGACCAAAAGUUAAGAAUCUACAUACACAGUCAUGACAGUUAGAUUCGGCAUAUCAAAGAACCCCAAUUAUUCAAUUUUGAUGAAAUCAAACAAAGUUUAAUUUUGGACCCUUUGGGCCCCUUAUUCUCAAAACUCCCAAAAUCAAUACCAACCUUCCUUUUAUGGUCAUAAACCUUGUGUUUAAAUUUCAUAGAUUUCUAUUUACUUAUACUAACGUUAUGGUGCGAAAACCAAGAAAAAUGCUUAUCUGGGUCCCUUUUUGGCCCCUAAUUCCUUAACUGUUGGGACCUAAACUCCCAAAAUCAAUACCAACCUUCCUUUUGUAGUCAUUAACAUUGUGUUUAAAUUUUAUUGAUUUCUAUUUACUUAAACUAAAGUUAUUGUGCGAAAACCAAGAAUAAUGCUUAUUUGGGCCCUUUUUUGGCACCUAAUUCCUAAACUGUUUAAAUCCAAAACUUCCAAAAUCAAUCCCAACCGUUCUUUUGUGGUCAUAAACCUUGUGUCAAAAUUUCAUAGAUUUCUAUUAACUUAAACUAAAGUUAUAGUGCGAAAACCAAGAAAAUGCUUAUUUGGGCCCUUUUUGGCCCCUAAUUCCUAAACUGUUGGGAUCAAAACUCCCAAAAUCAAUCCCAACCUUCCUUUUGUGGUCAUAAACCUUGUGUUAAAAUUUCAUAGAUUUCUAUUCACUUUUACUAAAGUUAGAGUGCGAAAACUAAAAUUAUUCAGACGACGAUGACGACGCCAACGUGAUACCAAUAUACGACCAAAAAUUUUUUAAAUUUUGCGGUCGUAUAAAAAUCUAAAUACAUGUUUAAAUUCAGCAUACCAAAGAACCCCAAGAAUUCAUUUUUUUUUUUAAUCCAACUAGUUUAAUUUUGGACCCCGAUUUGGACCAACUUGAAAACUGGGCCCAUAUUCAAAAAUCUAAAUAUAUGUUAAGAUUCAGGAUAACAAAGAAUCCUAAAAAUUCUUUUUUGUUUGCCCAUUUGAACUGUAAUGUAGACCAAUUUGAAAACGGGGCCAAAAAUUUAGAAACUAAAUACACAGUUAGAUUCAGCAUAUCAAAGGACAUCAAUAAUUCAAUUUAUGAUGAAAUCAAACAAAGUUUAAUUUUGGACCCUUUUGACCUCAAUGUAGACCAAUUUGGUAAUGGGGCCCAAAAAUCUAAAUACAUGAUUAGAUUCAGCAUAUCACAUUUUGUUGAAAUAAAAAAAAAAUAUUUCAGGAAGCCAAUUUGGACCAACUUGAAAACUGGGCCCAAAAUCAAAAAUCUAAAUACAUGUUUAAAUUCAGCACAUCAAAGAACCCCAAGAAUUCAAUGUUUGUUAAAAUCCAACUUGGUUUAAUUUUGGACCCAGAUUUGGACCAACUUGAAAACUGGGCCCAUAAUCAAAAAUCUAAAUAUAUGUUAAGAUUCAGGAUGUCAAAGAAUCUUAAAAAUUCUUUUUUGUUGGACCCUUUGAACCGUAAUGUAGACCAAUUUGAAAUCAGGACCAACCAGAUGCUCCGCAGGGCGUAGCUUUAUACGACCGCAGAGGUUGAACCCUGAACGGUUAGGGCAAGUAUGGACACAACAUUCAAGCUGGAUUCAGCUCUAAAUUUGGAUUGUGAUUAAAUAGUUGACACAGCAUAGGUUUCUGACACAGAAUGAAUGUGUUCUAAUGAACUUAAAAUUUUUGUUUUCUCUUAGAGCAAUUCACUAUGCUGUUGAAUAUUAAUCCUCUCAAAAAAAUGUUUGAAGAAAUUUUCUUUUUUAUUUAUGAAAUUUCAA